UACGUAGGGGGCGAGCGUUGUCCGGAUUUAUUGGGCGUAAAGAGCUCGUAGGCGGCUCGGUAAGUCGGAUGUGAAACCUCCAGGCUCAACCUGGAGACGCCAUCUGAUACUGCCGUGGCUUGAGUCCGGUAGAGGAGCAGGGAAUUCCUGGUGUAGCGGUGAAAUGCGCAGAUAUCAGGAGGAACACCAGCGGCGAAGGCGCUGCUCUGGGCCGGUACUGACGCUGAGGAGCGAAAGCGUGGGGAGCAAACAGG
rnacentral:rRNA from 1 species